AGUGAACGCUGGCGGUAGGCCUAACACAUGCAAGUCGAACGGCAGCACAGUAAGAGCUUGCUCUUAUGGGUGGCGAGUGGCGGACGGGUGAGGAAUACAUCGGAAUCUACUUUUUCGUGGGGGAUAACGUAGGGAAACUUACGCUAAUACCGCAUACGACCUACGGGUGAAAGCAGGGGAUCUUCGGACCUUGCGCGAUUGAAUGAGCCGAUGUCGGAUUAGCUAGUUGGCGGGGUAAAGGCCCACCAAGGCGACGAUCCGUAGCUGAUCUGAGAGGAUGAUCAGCCACACUGGAACUGAGACACGGUCCAGACUCCUACGGGAGGCAGCAGUGGGGAAUAUUGGACAAUGGGCGCAAGCCUGAUCCAGCCAUACCGCGUGGGUGAAGAAGGCCUUCGGGUUGUAAAGCCCUUUUGUUGGGAAAGAAAAGCAGCAGGUUAAUACCCCGCUGUUCUGACGGUACCCAAAGAAUAAGCACCGGCUAACUUCGUG
rnacentral:rRNA from 1 species